CUGGUGUAAUGCACACAUGCUUGUACCAAUGACUGGUACCACAUAUAUAAGCCUAUAUAUUGUGCGAUGCUUAGAAGGGGCGUGCUUUCAAAUUCCCAAGGAAAAGAGCACUUAUAUAGUCCGUCAAAUCGGGUCAACAAUUCAACAUGCCUGUAGAUGUCGAGUGAUGUGAGUUGACUAUAGACAAAUAGCUAAAUAAAGGAGAUGAGGAAAUUAAUAUUAGUAGUGUAAUGAACUUCAUACUGACUGCAAGUCACGUACAUGUAGUCAAGUUGAGGCAGAAAUCAUUUUUCUUGGAACAUAAUUUGGUAGCACUCCAUCAUUGCCAUGAAACCUGUAAUUUCAAAUGUCAGUCUUCAGAUACAUAAUUGUUAAUUUAAGUCUUAACUGAAUCUCUGCAAGCAAGCAUGAUGGUUUUAGCAUCAGAUACAUAAAGAUUAGGAUAACCUGGCAUAUAAAUCACCUCAAAUUAGGGUAUACCAGGAUUGCAAAAUUCAUAGUUGUAGCACGGUACUAUAUAGUAUAGUGAGUAGCUUGUGCUUCAGGCCACCGACACACAACAUACUGGAAACAGUAAUACCCAUCUGAUGACUUGUACCGGUGAAAUGAUGCAAAGAAUAAGGUGAAGAGAGCAUAGAGAGAAGGUCAGACAACAUGUGAUUACGACCGACUCCAUUUGGUAAAGGAAAUAGAGGAUCCCUGCCCCCACUAGAACCAUCCAUUAUAUAGUUUUAGUGUUCAAGUACGUUAUUAAACCUUCCAAUAUGGAUUAGACGACAUCAUCAGCAACCUGUCGUGUGUCCAUCGGAAGUAUCAAUUGGACUACUCUAAAUGGGAAAGAUAAAAAUCCCCAAGGAUUAAAUACCGGCGAACAAAAUAAUAUCAUAACAAAAAAAUUAUUAGACAUGCAAAACCACUACAAUUUUCAAAGUAUAUAGCUAAAUUCACUUUUAUUUUUCACUUCUGUACGUAUGCAAAAAUGUAAUAAGGGUUUUAUAGACUUGUGGUACCUCUUUUAGUUUUUUUAGUGAUGCGUCCUCAAAAGUAUAGCAAUUAAGAAAAGGCCGGCAUGCCUGCAGUGGCGGAGGUGGGAUUAGUGGGAUUAGGAUGUUGGGGAGGGCCGGUUGGAGCAGAAAACAAGUCAAAUGCUGCACUGUUCAUGUGUUUAUUAUGAACAAAUCCAUAGUAUUGGGAGGGGGGCAGGGCCCCUUGCUGGUCAUGUGUUUAUCGCCACACAAUGCCUGCAAAUAAGAACAAAUUUUUUUCUCACUACAAUGAUUUUGAUAGUUAAAUUUAUCGGUACACAUUUAACUGGGAACAGAAAUAUUUUAGAUGAUGUACUCCUAAUCCCUCAUUCGAACGGUUGAUUACUUCAUCUGUUGACGAACCAAAAAAAUGAUAGGGGCACAUACAUACUCUUAAGUCAAUUUAUAAACCUUGAUGGAGAUGGAGAUAUUAACAAAUAGACUGAUAUUUGUCAGUUGUGACUGAAAUUAGGUAAUUCAUAGAAGGAUAAACUCUAAAAAUUAGCAGAAAAGAGGAAUAUGGAACAUUAGCAUGGAGUUUUAUAGUCGGAGAUCUGAUGGUGUAGAUGACCAUUGUUGAAUUGUAGUUUGAUCUAUACCCUAACCACACACAUAGUAAAGGUGGCAGUGGCUCCAGCGUCCACGAAGGCAGUGAAACUGGGACUCCGAAAUAUCCUCGUUUCCUUGUUCUGUGUUCAAGGG
rnacentral:lncRNA from 1 species